GUCGCCGCGAGGCGGGGUGGGGAGGAAGCCGGAGGCAAAGCUCGGAGCUGACGAACAGGAAUCGGAUAGAAGGCCGGUGCGGCGGGAUAACCCAGCAAUGGAUGGGGAUGUCCGAUAGCCAGACAGACGCGCGCAUUGGUAAAUCCGGCAGCGACCGAGUGAAGGAUCAACGUC
rfam:Novosphingobium sp. AP12 PMI02_contig_447.447, whole genome shotgun sequence.